rnacentral:rRNA from 1 species
GGCUCAGGACGAACGCUGGCGGCGUGCCUAAUACAUGCAAGUCGAACGAACUCUGGUAUUGAUUGGUGCUUGCAUCAUGAUUUACAUUUGAGUGAGUGGCGAACUGGUGAGUAACACGUGGGAAACCUGCCCAGAAGCGGGGGAUAACACCUGGAAACAGAUGCUAAUACCGCAUAACAACUUGGACCGCAUGGUCCGAGCUUGAAAGAUGGCUUCGGCUAUCACUUUUGGAUGGUCCCGCGGCGUAUUAGCUAGAUGGUGGGGUAACGGCUCACCAUGGCAAUGAUACGUAGCCGACCUGAGAGGGUAAUCGGCCACAUUGGGACUGAGACACGGCCCAAACUCCUACGGGAGGCAGCAGUAGGGAAUCUUCCACAAUGGACGAAAGUCUGAUGGAGCAACGCCGCGUGAGUGAAGAAGGGUUUCGGCUCGUAAAACUCUGUUGUUAAAGAAGAACAUAUCUGAGAGUAACUGUUCAGGUAUUGACGGUAUUUAACCAGAAAGCCACGGCUAACUACGUGCCAGCAGCCGCGGUAAUACGUAGGUGGCAAGCGUUGUCCGGAUUUAUUGGGCGUAAAGCGAGCGCAGGCGGUUUUUUAAGUCUGAUGUGAAAGCCUUCGGCUCAACCGAAGAAGUGCAUCGGAAACUGGGAAACUUGAGUGCAGAAGAGGACAGUGGAACUCCAUGUGUAGCGGUGAAAUGCGUAGAUAUAUGGAAGAACACCAGUGGCGAAGGCGGCUGUCUGGUCUGUAACUGACGCUGAGGCUCGAAAGUAUGGGUAGCAAACAGGAUUAGAUACCCUGGUAGUCCAUACCGUAAACGAUGAAUGCUAAGUGUUGGAGGGUUUCCGCCCUUCAGUGCUGCAGCUAACGCAUUAAGCAUUCCGCCUGGGGAGUACGGCCGCAAGGCUGAAACUCAAAGGAAUUGACGGGGGCCCGCACAAGCGGUGGAGCAUGUGGUUUAAUUCGAAGCUACGCGAAGAACCUUACCAGGUCUUGACAUACUAUGCAAAUCUAAGAGAUUAGACGUUCCCUUCGGGGACAUGGAUACAGGUGGUGCAUGGUUGUCGUCAGCUCGUGUCGUGAGAUGUUGGGUUAAGUCCCGCAACGAGCGCAACCCUUAUUAUCAGUUGCCAGCAUUAAGUUGGGCACUCUGGUGAGACUGCCGGUGACAAACCGGAGGAAGGUGGGGAUGACGUCAAAUCAUCAUGCCCCUUAUGACCUGGGCUACACACGUGCUACAAUGGAUGGUACAACGAGUUGCGAACUCGCGAGAGUAAGCUAAUCUCUUAAAGCCAUUCUCAGUUCGGAUUGUAGGCUGCAACUCGCCUACAUGAAGUCGGAAUCGCUAGUAAUCGCGGAUCAGCAUGCCGCGGUGAAUACGUUCCCGGGCCUUGUACACACCGCCCGUCACACCAUGAGAGUUUGUAACACCCAAAGUCGGUGGGGUAACCUUUUAGGAACCAGCCGC